GCUGGCGGCACGCCUUAUACAUGCAAGUCGAACGAAGUAGCAAUACUUAGUGGCAGACGGGUGAGUAACAUGUGGGUAUCUUCCCUUUGGUGAGGAAUAACACGAGGAAACUUGUGCUAAUACCUCAUAAGUCUUUACGGAGAAAGCUUUAUGCGCCAAUGGAUGAGCCCGCACUUGAUUAGUUUGUUGGUGGGGUAAUGGCCUACCAAGGCUUUGAUCAAUAGCUGAUUUGAGAGGAUGAUCAGCCACAUUGGGACUGAGACACGGCCCAAACUCCUACGGGAGGCAGCAGUAAGGAAUCUUGCACAAUGGAGGAAACUCUGAUGCAGCGAUGCCGCGUGAGUGAAGAAGGCCUUUGGGUUGUAAAGCUCUUUCGUCGGGGAAGAAAAUGACUGUACCCGAAUAAGAAGGUCCGGCUAACUUCGUGCCAGCAGCCGCGGUAAUACGAAGGGACCUAGCGUAGUUCGGAAUUACUGGGCUUAAAGAGUUCGUAGGUGGUUAAAAAAGUUGGUGGUGAAAUCCCAGAGCUUAACUCUGGAACUGCCAUCAAAACUUUUUAGCUAGAGUAUGAUAGAGGAAAGCAGAAUUUCUAGUGUAGAGGUGAAAUUCGUAGAUAUUAGAAAGAAUACCAAUUGCGAAGGCAGCUUUCUGGAUCAUUACUGACACUGAGGAACGAAAGCAUGGGUAGCGAAGAGGAUUAGAUACCCUCGUAGUCCAUGCCGUAAACGAUGUGUGUUAGACGUUGGAAAUUUAUUUUCAGUGUCGCAGCGAAAGCGAUAAACACACCGCCUGGGGAGUACGACCGC
rnacentral:rRNA from 1 species